UACGGGGGGGGCAAGCGUUGUUCGGAAUUACUGGGCGUAAAGGGCUCGUAGGCGGCCAACUAAGUCAUACGUGAAAUCCCCCGGCUUAACCGGGGAACUGGCGUCUGAUACUGGAGUGGCGUUGAGUUUCGGGAGAGGGAUGCGGAAUUCCAGGUGUAGCGGUGAAAAUGCGUAGGAUAAUCUGGAGGAACACCGGUGGCGAAGG
rnacentral:rRNA from 1 species